AGAUGACUCUCAUGAGCCCUACUUCUUUUUAAUGUUAUUUUUAUUUUUGAGACGGCGUCUUAUUCUGUUGUCAGCCUGGAGUGCAACGGCGCGAUCUCGGCUCACUGCAAUCUCCGCCUCCCGGGUUCAAGCGAUUCUCCUGCCUCAGCCUCCUGAGUAGCUGCUGCUAGAGACGCCCGCCACCAAGCCCGGCUAAUGUUUUUGUAUUUUUAGUAGAGAUGGGGUAUCACCAUGUUGGCCAGGGUGGUCUCCAUCUCCUGACCUCGUGAUCCGCCCGCCUUGGCCUCCCAAAGUGCUCAGAUUACAGGUGUGAACCACCACACCCUGCAGAGUCCUACUAUUUUUAACAAGCAAAUCACAAGGCAAUUUUCAACCACUUGCAGUUAAACAAAGUCACAAGACUAGGUCUUGGCAACGGGAUAUGUGAGGAAGUGAUGUGAAUUCCUGGCCAAAGCAUAGAAGUGCAGAGGCAAGACCAUCCAGGUGACUCUUGCGAAGCAUCAGCUAUGGAGGCAAUGUGGUCCACGACACUUGUGACAGGAUUUCUGCACAAGAUGGUGCCUGAUGGGAAUCUUUACAAAGGACCUUGAAGCAGUCCCUGUGACAGCCCUAGAACAACAGAUAAAAAGUCUGACUACUCUGAGACCAUCAUACUGGAGAGGCCAAAAUAGGCUUUUUAGUUGACAGUGCCAGCCUUCCAGCCAUCCCUGCCAAGUCAUCAGGCAUGCAAGUAAAACCAUAUUGAAACCUAUAGACCAGCCAAUUCAUCAGCUGACUACACUACCAACUGACCUCAGUCAACACAGAACAGAAGAAUCACCCAGUGGGGUCCUGCUUGAAUUCUGCAUCUACAAAAUUGUGAACAAAAUAAAAUGAUUAUUGUUUUAAGCCACU
rnacentral:lncRNA from 10 species